GCCAAAGAAAGUCAAAUAACCAACCACCACCACGAAUGAACGACUAGCCUGUUGCACACACAAAAUCUAAUCUCUGUUGACAUUCCAACCCCCUUUCUCCACCUCGUUGGCAAGUGCAUGUGUCUCACUUUUUCUCUGACUGGCAGACAUGAGAGUGAAAUCAAUUGACCUCUUUGACCCCUCGUCUGGCUGCGUCUCGAAAUCGGCUCACAAUUAAUUUAGUCGCCGUCCAAUUCGCACCGAUUUUUCUCUCCUCGUCAGAAACUAAAUUCUUGUAAAUUCGGUAUUUCAAAAAGUGGUGGAAAAUUAGUUUAAUUUGAUAACGAUAGUUGUUCAGGAUAUUGACAAUAUGGCAAUGGCGAACCCCAGGACAGGUGGGUCGGCUCGAGCUGGAGGGUCGUCGUCGGCGUCGGCAUCGUCGUCUUCUGGACUCAAAAGACAUGGUGGAAUGGCGAACUUGAAGCCGAAUUCGCAAUCGUCAGAGAAUUUUGAUUCGUCCGUGGCGGAAUCGCACCUUUUUAAUUUGCUGGAUGUGACGUGUGAUAAGAUCAAGGAGCUGGAGGAUCUCUUAGAGAAAGAAAGUCACUUGACCGGGUUAUAUGAAGACAAUCCGAUGCAUGCAAUAAUAGAAAGACAGAAAAAGCUUAUCUUUGGGAUUGAGGAGAUGCAGAGGAAACGCAUUUUGAAAAGAAGUCAAGUCGUAAAACAGCCACGGGAUCCAUUUAAGGAAUUGUCGCUUCACAGUACCUCCGCACACCCAACUUCGUCAUCGACUCAAAGAGAUUACUUGAAAGAAUUGAAGUCAGAAGCUACGCUUUGUCCACCAGCAUACCCAUCGCCACCGGGUGCAUCGAUGUUUGUUUCGCCUUCAUCGUCCCGAGGUAGUUUUGGUGCAAAUCAAUCUUCGUCAAGUAACGUUCCUCUUGACGUAUCGUUGGGUUCAUUGUCACUCUCGAAUCGUGCAGAGACUUCGUGGGAAGAUGGAUCUGGGUCAUGGCGGGGAAGGAGUUCUUGGAACCAGCAGAGUCAGCGUUCGGUACAUUCAAUGGGUCGCGUUGAAUUACGACCCGACCAAACGUAUACAGGACAGAGGUCAAGAAGUUCUGCCUUUAAUUUGGGAUUACCAACGGUGACCGAAGCUCCUGUUUCGAGGCUCCCAACGGUUGCUGCCCAGUUGCGGCGUUCAAGCCGGCCAAAUUUAGCCCAACCGAUUGAAACCCCACCGAUGCCAAAGGUGACAAAGUUGGCUGAAUCAUCAGACCAAGUAGACUCACCAGUCAAAUAUUCCAACAACUCGGUCGCAUCGGUUAACUUGGGAGAGUCUGAUAACUGGUUGUUCCAUUCUACAAAUGAUGAUUUUGAAGGGGAUAUAACACCGCGUGGUAUGGAAGGAGCAGGAUCAUUUUCGUCCAGCGGAACUUUAUUUUCCGGUGAUGCUGCCAAUUCUUCCUCGUCAAAUAUUAGUCAACUGCCACCGUUAUCCCAAAGCUUGGGGCCAGAAACCGCGGAAUGGGAAGUGAAUGGAGCACGGUUGGAGACGAGCAAGCCAUUUGAAACCACUGAUGUUUUGAAGUAUAGUCGAAAGUUUAAUGACCCGAACUUGCAAUCCAUGAUAAAGAACCGUCUGGAUGCAUGCACAUCGACAGGGCGGCUGGGUCCAAAUGGAGAAAGAGUCCUACAGCGGCGCCGAAGUCGGCUGAUUGAGUUAGUUCACUCCACCACAUCAACAAUGCAGCAGCCUAGUAAUUUCAUUUGUUUUAAACCUACUUGUUUUGCUAAUUACCUUAUAUUUCAUGCAUAUUUUAUUUCUCGACUGUCGGUGUUAAAUAGGUUCUCCGAUGAUUGAAAAUAUUUCUCCAGGCCAGGCAGGACAGAACCCACCUCUUCCACCUAGGGCAAGGGCUCCAGUUAGAGCAGAAAAUGAAAUGCAUUCAAGUCCGGCUUUAAACUCAGAGGCUUGGAUGGACAAUCCAACUAUCGUAUGAAUAACACAACAAUCCCUAAAUAUCUUGCCAUCAUCAAUCAAUAAUUCUUACUACACGGUUCUAAAUUAAUUUAUAGUAAUACUUAAAAUGUUCUAUUCAAUAUAGUUUUAAGUUAAAGUAUAGUUAGACAAUGCAAACAAAAAACAGUACAAGAAAUUUGGAUGUUGAGGAAGUACAAAUUUUUUGUGACAGAACAAUAAACUUGGGAGAGCAUGUUGGAAUAUA